rnacentral:rRNA from 1 species
GUGAAGUCGGGUCUAUAAUGCAGUCGUGCGGACCUUUUAAAAGCUUGCUUUUAAAAGGUUAGCGGCGGACGGGUGAGUAACACGUGGGCAACCUGCCUGUAAGAUCGGGAUAACGCCGGGAAACCGGGGCUAAUACCGGAUAGUUUUUUCCUCCGCAUGGAGGAAAAAGGAAAGACGGCUUCUGCUGUCACUUACAGAUGGGCCCGCGGCGCAUUAGCUAGUUGGUGGGGUAACGGCUCACCAAGGCAACGAUGCGUAGCCGACCUGAGAGGGUGAUCGGCCACAUUGGGACUGAGACACGGCCCAAACUCCUACGGGAGGCAGCAGUAGGGAAUCUUCCGCAAUGGACGAAAGUCUGACGGAGCAACGCCGCGUGAGUGAAGAAGGCCUUCGGGUCGUAAAACUCUGUUGCCGGGGAAGAACAAGUGCCGUUCGAACAGGGCGGCGCCUUGACGGUACCCGGCCAGAAAGCCACGGCUAACUACGUGCCAGCAGCCGCGGUAAUACGUAGGUGGCAAGCGUUGUCCGGAAUUAUUGGGCGUAAAGCGCGCGCAGGCGGCUUCUUAAGUCUGAUGUGAAAUCUUGCGGCUCAACCGCAAGCGGUCAUUGGAAACUGGGAGGCUUGAGUGCAGAAGAGGAGAGUGGAAUUCCACGUGUAGCGGUGAAAUGCGUAGAGAUGUGGAGGAACACCAGUGGCGAAGGCGGCUCUCUGGUCUGUAACUGACGCUGAGGCGCGAAAGCGUGGGGAGCAAACAGGAUUAGAUACCCUGGUAGUCCACGCCGUAAACGAUGAGUGCUAAGUGUUAGAGGGUUUCCGCCCUUUAGUGCUGCAGCUAACGCAUUAAGCACUCCGCCUGGGGAGUACGGCCGCAAGGCUGAAACUCAAAGGAAUUGACGGGGGGCCCGCACAAGCGGUGGAGCAUGUGGGUUUAAUUCGAAGCAACGCGAAGAACCCUUACCAGGUCUUGACAUCCUCUGAUCCUCCCCUGGAGACAGGGCCUUCCUCCUUCGGGGGACAGAGUGACAGUGAUGCAUGGUUGUCGUCAGCUCGUGUCGUGAGAUGUUGGGUUAAGUUCCCGCACGAGCGCACCCUUUGAUCCUUAGUUGCCAGCAUUCAGUUGGGCACUUCUAAGUGACUGCCGUGACAACCGGAGAAAGGGUGGGAAUGACGUCAAAUCAUUCAUCCCGUAUGACUGCUUACCACCGUGCUACAUGGAAUGGUACAAGGCUGUGCGAGAAACUCCGCGAGU